rnacentral:rRNA from 1 species
UACGUAGGGGGCGAGCGUUGUCCGGAUUUAUUGGGCGUAAAGCGCUCGCAGGCGGCUCGAUGCGUCGUGCGUGAAAGACCCCGGCUCAACUGGGGGGCGUCGUGCGAUACGGUCGGGCUGGAGGCCAGUAGGGGGAUGCGGAAUUCCAAGUGUAGCGGUGAAAUGCGUAGAGAUUUGGAGGAACACCAGUGGCGAAGGCGACUUUCUGGUCUGUAACUGACACUGAGGCGCGAAAGCGUGGGGAGCAAACAGG